rnacentral:lncRNA from 1 species
GUGCUUUUUCCUACGGUUUCGGCCUUUCAUAUUUUUACAUGCAAAUCCCACUUCUAAAAACAACUAUCAUGAAACUGAAUAUAUCUACACAGGAACGACAUCAGCAUUCUGAUUAUCAUCGCACGUCAGAAUGAGACCUUCAACAUAGGUCGGGAGAAGGCAGCGAAACCAUUGAAAGCCUGUUGACACAGGCUCCGUUGGAGGAACAAUCAUGACCACAUUAUCGUGGCGUCUGACAACCCCAAUCACACUUACAGUGCUGCCCUCUUUAAUAUACCUGAUGAGGAGGAAACAUAUUCUUAAAAGCCUCUAACUUGUGAACGACAGAACCUCACAAUUUGUAUAAUCAUACGCGAGUUUCUAGUUACAGGUUAAAUGUAAAAAUCUCUGACCAUGCAAAAAUUAUGACUAGAAACAAAAAAGCAGCAUACCCUUCUUUGAGGCGCAUUACACGGUCAUCGGUAGACAGGUUGCGCUCACCAAGCCAGCGCAAAAAACUUGGAGAUAACUCUCUGUUUUCCUUUGUCACGUCCACUACAGUAGCUGGUUUUACGAAUGGGGCAACCUUGGCUCCAUAGCCAGCUUUCACUAAUGCUCUUAAACCCGAUUGGAAGUCUGAUAUGUAGAAGUCAGAUACAUAUUUCUGUUAAAAAAAAACAUAAAAAUGUUAGGGCCUGUUUGGUAUUUGAUUUGGAUCCAAUGUUUUUAACUCAAAAACAAGUUUUGAGUCACAAAUUUAAAAUCUUUGUUUGGUAGCGGAUUUGAAUACAAUUCUCAAAACCAUAACUCAAAAAUAUCUGAAAACAAGGGCUAUUGGAUGAAAACACAAAAAGUGUGUUUUUAAACUUUUUAUUUUAUGGAUUAUCACUCCCGUCUCUCUCUCCCUCUGUCUCCUCUCUCCCAUUCGAUGUACUCCCUUACCUCUUCCCUCUUCAAUCCUCUUUUCCCUGUUGUCUUUCCAAUCCCUUCCGGCUUAUAUCCACCAUAGCCACCACCUCUAUCCUUCUCCCUCCAGCCAAGACAAAUCGAUCUUUCCCGCCUCUUCAAUACUAUCUUCUUUGUUGCCUCAAUCUUAUCUCUUCUCACUUGCAUCCACCAUAGCCACCACAUCUUCCCUAUGGUUGUUGGAUCUUAGGUUUGAGACGCCAACAUGAUUAGCCUCUGUCAGCGCGAGUUUGGAGUAAGGAGUUGGUACAUAGCCAAAGGAGUCGCCGCUAGGGAAGUGAGGGAUGUGGUGGUCAGGAAAUUGGUCUUUCGCCGCUGGGGAUGGGAGGGAUGCGGUGGUCGGGUAAUUGCUUGGGCUGGGCGUUUGACUUUUUCUGUUUGGAUUAGUUUUGAGAAAAUGCAUACCAAACAAAGAUUUGAAUUUAAAAUUUUUAAAUCAAAACAUGUGUUUUUAGAAAAAAUUAAAAUUUUGAGUUUCGUUCUCAAGUUAGAUACCAAACAGGCCCUUAAUAUUCCAGCCUGACUGAAGUCUUUAAAGUAAACAGAGAACUGCAUAUGCAGUCUUUUAUUUGUGCAAACAAUUGCAAAAGACAACGCGCAGAUGGCACCAUUUAUGGAACUCAGGUUAAUUGUACUGUAUUAUUGCCCCAACAAAAAUCCAAGCAAGAGUUUCAAAUUGUUUGCCCACCAGUGGAGGAUAACAAAUGCAUACAUAAAUCUUUCAGGUCUACUCAUAUCUGGCUAUACUCAUGUCAUGAAUCGCAUGAGCUAAUUUUAUCUGGUACUGCAUGCCUAAAAUGUUAAGUUUACAUAGUUUAUGAACACAUAUCUACAUAUAUGUAUGUAUAUAAUGGGUUUCACUUCUCAGGGCCCUGUCAGAUCAACGAGUGCAGUAUAUACAAAUCUUUAUUCUAAAUCAUCAUCAGUCAAACUUUGACAAUGAACGCAGUUCAGAGCACCUAAGCACAAAUAGUCUGACAACUAACCUCUGAAUGUCUAGAUUUUUUAUUCUCCGACUUGCGCACACAGCAUCCUUUAGAUUCACACAACUCGGUGGAAACAUAUACACACCUAGGUACCCUUUGGUAGGAUGAUUCCAACGGAAUACUGCCACAGGUAACAACCUACAUGCAGAGAUAUCAACAUAUUACAGCUGCGGUAGACAUGUGCCAUGUAGCUCUUCAGAUUGUAGAAGCCCACGGGGAAUAUCGACUAAAGCCAUGGGAUACGGCAGCUGGUGUUUUGGUAAUGUUUUGUCUUCUCAUAAAUUUGUUUGGUGUUUGUGGAAUAGCAAUAUUUGGAAGUCUAUUGUUAGAACACUCAAUUGAAUACCUUCUUGUUUUGGGCUUGUGGAAACAUAAUACAUCGGCAGAGAUUUUUGUUUUAUAUCUCUCAAUUUUAGUUUUUUUUUCCCUAAAGCAAUUUGGUCUGAUUUUUUAUUUGCAUUAUAUGACAUAUUGUUCAGGUUUUUCUUUUCUAUUUUGUUUUUACUUUGUUUUGAGAGCCUAAAUAAUCAUUGAUACUUUCUUAUACAUGGGUUAGUUCUUUUUAUUUUUUCUAGUUGAAUACCUGGGAAGAGUUGUGAUAACUCAAAGUAUACAUCAGAAAUCGAGCACAUAACAAAAUAAUGUAUCAAUUGACUGUUUGGUUCCAGUAUGAACAAUUUACGCAGGAAGACUAUACAAAUAAUAGACUUUCUGUCAUUAGACAUAUCCUUUACGUUUUUAUGGCAAGUGUUUGGAAUUGUUGCUUCGGACAAUCUCUUGUGACAAGAUGCUUAAACUGAUGCAUGAGAAGUAUAGUUCACUUUUCUCUCUGCAGAAUCGUGGCAUCCAGAAGUGUGAUUUCAAGUAUUCAUAGAAUUUGGUAUUGCAAUUUUGAGCAGAUAGUUGAAGAGGCUGGAGGAAAGGUUACGUGCAUGGAUGGUGGAAAUUUUUCUGUAUUUGAUAGAUCCAUCUUGGUAUCCAACUGUGUGCUGCAUGGCAAGGUUAGCCUUCUGCUUUAUCCAGAAUCUAAUUACAAAACCUUACGUGUUAAGAUCGAACUACGGUUAUAGAAUGCAAGAUCUUAACUUUUCAUUGCCUUUCUGUUACUACCACUAAUCUUGUUCACUAGUUAUAUAACCAUUAACGAAGAGUCAAAGGUCAAUUCAGUUUCCCUAACUUGAUGUAUGUUUCUACUCAUGAAGUGGCAAGCUUUCCUUUCCCUUUCCAUAGUUUUCCUCAAAUUUUUGUGCUAGGGUAGGUCAGGGUAGGGCUGGGUUCGGUUCUUAUCGGUUCGGUUUUUUGCCAAAACCGAAACCAAACCAAAAUUUCGGUUCGGCCCAAAUUUUUUUCGGUUUUUUUCGGUUCGGUUUUUUUUUCGGUUCGGUUUCGGUUUUUUUUCGGUUUUUUUUUUUUUUUUUCCUCCAAAAAAUGCAAAACAAGCACAACAUAAUAUAGGAAUAGAAAAUAUGACAUGUUUCCAUCUCUACGUAUAAAGUCUCAUAAAACUAAAAGUCUCAUAAAACUUAAAGUCCAACUAUAAAUAGAAUCAAUCAUCAAUCAAGUUUAAGUCUUCAAAAAGUCCAAAUUAAACAUCAAAGUUUAAGUCUUCAAAAAGUCCAAAUUUAAACAUCACACAAGUCAAAUAAACCUUCAAGGUUUCAUCACUUCAUGUCUUGCACAAAUAAAAUCUUCCAAGUCUUCAAGCUCAAGCUCAACGCAUAGGCGGCCUAGGAGGCAACAUAGCACCUUUCUUUGAGCUUCCCCUUGCCAUUUCUACAUACAAAUAAAAAUAAAAAUAAGAACAUGACAUAAUUGGCACACAUACUUGGCAUAAUUGAAAUUUCAGAUUAUAUUUUUGGCACACAUACUUGGCAUAAUUGAAAUUUCCAGCAACUAUAGUACAUAGUUACUAGCGAAGAAAACAAUACCGAUUGAUGAAAAUAACAUCUUGGAAAAUGCCUUCAUCUCUCUUAGACCGAUUCUCAUAAUUGCAGCCUGGUCAUUCAAAAUAAGCAGUCACAAUAAAAAGGUCGUACCCAGUGCAUAAGGCUCCCGCUUUACGCAGGGUCUGGGAGAGGUGAAUGUCGGCUAGCCUUACCCCCAUUUUAUGGAGAGGCUGCUCCCAAGAAAAUAAGCAGUCACAAUGACAUAGAAAAAGCAGAUGAGAUGUGGGUUCAACUUUUACCAAAAUUUUUGAGCUUACCUUUGUGUUAUUUCCCAUCUCCAACCCAUCCACAAAACCUGCUGCUAUGGCCACAACAUUUUUCAGGGUUCCACAUAGUUCUACCCCUUCCACAUCUUGGAUCUAUAAAUUUCAAACACGGAAAGGUGUCAAUGGAGCAUUCCAAUAUAAAUUUGAUGUCAAUCGCUAAAUCAAAUUAUAUGCUGGGAUAAGCAUUUAGCGUAGCUAACAUACUACCAAAUUUUUACUAAAUGUGUGGGAAACUAAAGUAGUUCCCGUCCGUGCCAAACAUUCAUGAUAGUAAAAAGACUAAAAGUACACUAUUAUGACAUUCAUUGUAACAAUGUAUUCGAUGUACUCACAGGUGUCAUAUAUCCCAUUCAGAGUGCAGUAUGAUAUCCAAAUCUAGGAGACAAAUUGGUGAUCCAUGGUGAAGGAAAAACAUAAAUGAACGCAAAGAUUAACCACGGAAACAAGGGCCUAGCCAUCAGUGCGUCUCCUACCGACAACCAUAUCGAACAAUAGGCCCAAAGUCAAAACCUUUUCGAUUUUAAAGUAUAAUACUGAUUCAUGAAACUAAAACAGAGAAUUGUAGCUAAGUGUGAGAUAGGUAAACGCAAGAUCUAUAAGUUUAAUCGACGAAAAACUCAUUACAAUUUUUGCAGAUCCACAGUUUUUAAAGCAAAUGAAAGAUGAUUUCUUCAAAAUUCAGCUAAACAAUCCCAUUUCUACAACCCACAGAAUGCAAACCUCAAAUCAUAAGAUCCAAAUUCGCAAUUAAAAACCGAUUCCAAUCAGAUCUACAGCAAGCAGUGAGAAACUACAAAGAUCUACACAUUCCAGCACACCCAAACAGCAUCACAAGUAAAUGAGCAACCUUUCUGAAUCAAACACCGCAACACACAGAACCCAAAUCGAAUCAUGCAAAAACAAUAUCGAAAAAUAUCCAUAAACAAAAAAAAUCGAAAACAACCCAAUUGAGCAAAACCACGAAGCUCGACGAAAUACCAAAUGAGCAGAGCAGAUGAAUAUUACCUCAGUCAAUGUGAGGCGGGAGGUCGACGGCGGAGAGAGCGAGAGAGAUCUUAUGCGGAAGAAGAGCGAGAGAGAGAAGAGAGAGGAUAGGGAGAGCUGUGUUCUUCUUCUGAUGGCAGUUAACGUAGGAGAUAUGAGGGGUAUAUAUACGCUCACAGCGCAGUGAAGAGUGCAUUAAAGAUCGUUGCUUUUUUACAUUGUUGCGGUUGAUGGCAUCUGUGAGCUUCUCACCACUUGGUAAUGUUUCCUCAACCGUACGGCUCUGCUUCUUCUUCACCUCAUCCGAAUUCUUCUCCAACGCCGCAUGCUCCUCCUUUUCGAGAUCCUUCUCCUCCAGAUCCGCCAAUCGGCGGGCCUCGGACUUCCGCGUGGCAGCCUCCGCCAGCUUCUCGGCUUCUUCCUCGCGCUUCUUGGCCGCGGGGGAUUUGCUGAUGAAGCAUUCUCGUUGCAGCCAUCCCAGGGAGUCGGUGACCCCCAAAUCUUUCCUCGCGCUUCUUGGCCACGGGGGAUUUGCUGCCCUUCACCUCGCACCAGUACUACUCGUCCUUCUCGCGAGCCUCGCGUUCCUUGCGCUUGGCUUCGAUGAAGCUCUUCACAGAGAGACAGAGAGAGUGAGAGAGAUGAGGCUCGGCUGCGCGAGAAGGUUACUGGGCUAGGUUACACUGGACUGGAGGCAGGGAAUGAGAGAGAGAAGAGAGGAAUGAAAAAAAUAAAAGGUGCGGCUAGGGUUAAAACUUAAAAGGUUUGUUGAUUGCUCAAAAAAACUAAAAAACUUUUUUGAAACCCUGGAGGCAUGAGGAUUCGAACCCAUGCGCAGGGGCUUGAAGAGUUUCAAGCAAACCAACUUGGUACCUGGUUAUGUCUUGUUAUGAUUGUAUCACUAAAUUAUUUAUAAUAUUGAAAAAAAAAUUAAAUAUAUAUAUCUGUUCGGUUCGGUUCGGUUUGGUUCGGUUUCCGAACCUUAAAAAUCGAAACCAAACCAGCCAGGUUCGGUUCAGUUCGGUUUGGCAGUUUCGGUUCGGUUUUUUUUCGGUUCGGUUUUUUUCGACCUCGGUUCGGUUUGGUUUUCGGUUUUUUUGGUUUUCGGUUAUUUGAACCCACCCCUAGGUCGGGGGGUGGGUGGGAGGUGAGUAGAGCAGAUGUUUACUGUAAGUCCGUAACAGAGCUUUUAGUAGUGCUAUAGUUUCCUGUAAAAGACGCGGUAGAUUGUGUGGAAAGUAAGAUCUUAGUGAAUAAGAAAACUGAAUCUUAGAGAAAGAGAAAGAUUAGAGAGAGAGAGAAUGUAGAGAGAGAAAGAGAAUUGUGAAAAUGAUUUUCAUUAUUUCAAUAUCUCUGUACAUGAAGUAUAUAUACAUAAAUACCAAAGCUAACUAUUUUAGCAUUCCCCUAACUAACCCAUACAGACAAGAACUAAUCUGGUGCUGUACACCUUUGGUAACUAUGUGAACCUACAGUACUCCUAACACACCCCCUCAAGCUGAAGGUAGAGGAUCGAACUGAAAUCUUGUCAGUCAGGAGAAACCGAUCGGCAGGGAGAGACUUAGUAAAAAUAUCAGCAAUCUGUGACAAUGUAUUAACAUGUUGAACAUCAAUCUGACCCAAAAGAACUUUCUCGCGGAUAAAGUGAUAGUCGAUCUCAACAUGCUUUGUGCGAGCAUGAAAGACCGGAUUGAAAGCUAGUGCAAUAGCACUCUUGUUAUCACAGAAUAUAACAGGUGUACGAAGAAGGGGAAAUGAAAGAUCAGAAAGUAUCUUGCAAACCCACGAAAUUUCUGCAGCAGUGUUUGCAAGUGACCUGUACUCAGCCUCAAUGGAGGACCGAGCCACGGUGUUCUGUUUCUUAGCACUCCAAGCUACUAAAUUUGGUCCCAAAAACACACAAUAGCCACUUGUACAUCGUCGGUCAACAGGGCAACCAGCCCAAUCGGCAUCAGACCAAGCAGUGAGAUGUUAAGCACCCUUUGUGAACCUCAGUCCGAAGUCAAUAGUGCCUUUAAGAUAUCUGAGGAUACGCUUAACAGCUUGCAAAUGAAUAGUUCGGGGAGUUUGCAUAUGUUGACACACUUGAUUCACUGCAAAAGCAAGAUCAGGACGAGUCCAGGUAAGGUACACCAACAAUGGACCUGUAGGAAGUAAGAUCUGCAAGUGGUGUGCCUGAGUGAUCCAGUUUAGAAGAAAUAAUUCUAGAAUUUAAUUUUUGUAAAAUGCAGCUCUUAGAGAGGGUUGCACCUGCAACAGAGAAAUUGAAGAGCCAAGGAAUCGAUUUCUCAUUGCGGUACAAGCCCGAAGAUUACACAAGAGACAUUUGAUGCGCCUGACAGUUCAAUUUUUUUUUUUUGGCCAAUGGUGCUGAUCUAAAGCUAGGGCGUCACCCGUAAGUGGUGCGCUGUGUGGCCCGAGCACAGUGAUAAGUGAGCAAGGGUCGCUGUAUCUCCAUCGGCACCCGGAUGCAGUGUUAAAUGAGCAAGGGGGCUAUAGAAACUUCUUUUCGAACGACUCCACUCAAAGUUGUUUGGGAGCAUAUGCUCCUAUCAACUUUACACGGGACACACAAAAGAAGUACUUUGAUCCUAUUAGACGGGGAAGGGUGAAGAAGCUAGGACAGAAGGGUAGAGUUCAAGAGAGCAAAAUGCGUUUAGGAACGUGGAAUAUAGGAACCUUGACGGGAAAAUCUAUGGAAGUAGUAGAAGUUAUGGUGAGGAGAAGGAUAAAUAUUAUGUGCCUACAAGAAACUAAGUGGGUUGGUCGUAAGGCAAAGGAUCUAGAAAACUCAGGGUUUAAACUAUGGUAUUUGGGCACAAAUAGAACGAGAAAUGGUGUUGGCAUCAUCGUGGACAAGACCUUGACACAAGAUGUUGUAGAUGUCAAGAGGGUAGAGAGAUAGAAUCAUGGCAAUCAAGAUUGUAAUAGGACACGAACUUAUCAAUGUGAUUAGUGCGUACGCACCUCAAGUAGGGUUGGAUACGAGUUCGAAGGAGAAAUUUUGGGAAGACCUUGGAGACUUGGUGCAAGGAAUUGCUCAGACGGAGAAGUUAUUUAUAGGAGGAGAUUUAAAUGGACACGUGGGCAGGGAGACAGGCAACUAUGGAGGUUUUCAUGGUGGCCAUGGUUUUGGGGAGAGAAACGAGGAUGGGGAAGCUAUCUUGGAUUUUUGCAAUGGCAUAUGAUCUCUUUUAGCCAACACCUUCUUUAAGAAGAGAGAAGAACAUGUGAUCACCUACAAGAGUGGGUCGUCAAAAACACAAAUAGAUUUUCUUCUAAUGAGGAAAGGGGAUCGUAUAACUUGUAAGGAUUGCAAAGUUAUACCAGGAGAGAGUGUGGCUAAUCAACAUCGCUUGUUAGUGAUGGAUGUACAUAUCAAAAGAGUGAGAAAAAAGAACAAGACUUGGAAGUGCCCAAGGACUAGAUGGUGGAAUCUAAAAGAAGAAAAACAAAGCCAUUUUCAAAGAGAAAGUAAUCACCCAGUGGUGUGUGGGAUAGAGAGGGGGAAGCUAACCAAAUGUGGGAUUCCAUGGCUAGUUGUAUCCAAAAAGUAGCAAAAAAGAGGUAUUAGGAGAGUCCAAGGGCUUUUGCCCCCACACCAAAAGGAAUCUUGGUGGUGGAAUGAGGAGGUACAAACAAAGGGUGAAGGCUAAGAAGGAAUGUUGUAAAGCCUUAUACAAGGAUAGGACCGAUGAAAAUGGUGAAAGGUAUAGAAAAGCGAAGCAAGAGGCGAAGAAAGCUGUGAGAGAAGCUAAGUUAGCGGCUUAUGACGAUAUGUAUAAGCGACUAGAUACCAAAGAAUGAGAGUUUGAUAUCUAUAAACUAGCUAGAGCAAGGGAAAAGAAGACAAGGGACCUAAACCAAGUGAGGUGCAUCAAGGAUGAGGAUGGAAAUGUUCUUGCUACAGAGAACGCGGUUAAAGACAGAUGGAAAGGUUAUUUUCAUAAUCUUUUCAAUGAAGGACAUGAAAGGAGUGCUUCUUUAGGGGAGUUGAGUAACUCAGAAGAGUGUAGAAACUACUCUUUUUAUCGUAGAAUCCAGAAGGAAGAAGUGGUUGUAGCUUUGAAGAAGAUGAAGCAUAGAAAAGCAGUAGGCUCAGACGAUAUAUACCAAUCGAAGUGUGGAAAGUUUUGGGGGAGAGACAGGUAUAACAUGGCUCACUAACCUUUUCAAUAGGAUUUUGAAAACGAAGAAGAUGCCAAAUGAGUGGCGAAUGAGCACUUUGGUGCCUAUCUACAAGAAUAAGGGCGAUGUACAAAAUUGCAUGAACUAUAGGGGUAUUAAGCUAAUGAGUCAUACAAUGAAGCUUUGGGAGAGAGUCAUUGAGCAUAGAUUGAGGCAAGAGACACGGGUUUCGGACAACCAAUUCGGGUUCAUGCCAGGGCGCUCAACCAUGGAGGCAAUCUAUCUCUUACGAAGAUUGAUGGAAAGAUAUAGAGAUGGGAAAAAGGAUUUACACAUGGUCUUUAUAGAUUUGGAAAAAGCGUAUGAUAGGGUCCCAAGAGACAUUCUUUGGAGGAUUUUAGAGAAGAAAGGAGUACGAGUAGCAUAUAUCCAAGCUAUACAGGAUAUGUAUGAAGAAGCAAAGACUGCCGUAAGAACUCAUGAAGGACAAACCGAAAGCUUUCCCAUAACUGUAGGAUUACAUCAAGGCUCAUCCUUAAGUCCUUACCUUUUUUGCGUUGGUAAUGGAUGAGUUAACAGGACAUAUUCAAGAUGAUAUUCCUUGGUGUAUGCUUUUCGCAGACGAUAUAGUGUUGAUAGAUGAAACUCAGGAAGGGGUAAAUGCAAAGCUUAACCUUUGGAGAGAAGUGUUGGAAUCUAAAGGUCUUCGCCUAAGCCGAUCAAAGACAGAAUAUAUGGAGUGCAAGUUCAAUGCAAAUGGAGGCCAAAACGAGUUAGGGGUGAGGAUCGGAGAUCAAGAAAUACCAAAGAGCGACUGUUUUCGUUACCUAGGAUCUAUCUUGCAAAAGAACGGAGAAUUAGAUGGAGAUCUCAACCAUAGAAUACAAGCUGGAUGGAUGAAGUGGAAGAGUGCAUCCGGUGUGUUGUGUGACCGCUGUAUGCCACUGAAGCUUAAGGGAAAAUUUUAUAGGACGGCAAUAAGGUCGCCGAUGCUGUAUGGCACAGAAUGUUGGGCGGUGAAGCAUCAACACGUACACAAAAUGGGUGUAGCGGAGAUGAGGAUGCUUCGUUGGAUGUGUGGGCACACGAGAAAGGAUAAGAUUAGGAAUGAGGAUAUCCGGGGUAAAGUAGGAGUAGCCGAAAUUGAAGGAAAGAUGAGAGAAAAUCGGUUACGGUGGUUUGGACAUGUGCAAACCUACUGACGCUCCGAUUAAAAGAUGCGACUAUAGGACAGAGGUUCAGGGUCGAAGGGGUAGAGGAAGACCUAGGAAAACUUUGGAAGAGACCCUAAGAAAAGACUUAGAGUACUUGGAUCUAACAGAGGACAUGACACAGGACAUAACACAAUGGCGUUCUAAGAUUCAUAUAGCCGAUCCCACUCAGUGACUUGGAUUUUCCAAGUCUCCAACCGAGAAGUUUUCCUCACUCGGGAAAUUAAGGGAACACUACCUCAACCUACAUGCUCCACUCACAAAUCUUCAACAUACAAGCUUCAACAAAAGAAAAUUCAAAGAACUUAGCGAAGAAGGCUUUGGUGUAUUUAACACAAUACGUUGAAAUGAAGGAAAGUUUAUUUAUUGAUAUCCCCGAUAAGUUACAAAUAUGUACAUAUACUUGAGUCAAAAUAAGCAAAUAAGAGGGAGCCUUCACAAAGGUUGCUUAGGAGAAGUCUUAGCAGUCGGUAGAGCCCCAGAAAGAGAAGGCACCGGAGGGGGAUCAUUCGGAGCCUCAGUACUGGACAAAACCCUAGAAGGAGGAGGCAUCAGAGGUUGAUCAUUUGGAGCUUCAUUACGCGGUACAGCCAAGAAGACGAAGGCAAUAAAUGCCUUUGGAAAAAACCCACAAAUCUCUGAUGAUCAAGUAAAACCUGACCAUCAGAUUCCUUCAUCUGGUCAAGCUUCAUCUUCAUGUUUGUAGCAUAGUCAUGUGCGAGCCGGUGCAACUGUUUAUUCUCAUGCUUGAGCCCUCUAAUCUCCUGUUUAAGACUCAUCACUUCGGCCGCCAAUGAUUCAACUUGGCGGGUUCGAGCAAAUAGGUGUUGGGCCAUAUUAGACACAGAACCUGCAUACUGAACACUGAGAGCCAGAGAAUCCUUAACAACCAACUCAUCAGACCGUUUGGAAAGUAGUCUGUUAUCUUUCGGAGUGAGAGGAUGUUCCUGGCCACUACCGCAGCGGUCAUAUCAUUCUUCAUCACGGAAUCCCCAACGGUAAGAGGACUAGUAGGGGAGACGAAGGGGCGCCAUAUGUUGUCUGGAGAAGGCGGGGCUGCCUCUUCAACAAGGUUCAAGUCAAAACGACGGUCGGAGGGGCCAGACAUUUUCAAAGUUGUUGAAGAGAGAAGAGGUCGGACAAAUCAAGAUCUUAGAAGUGCAAGAAUGGAGCUUCUACUGGUGGAUAUUCAAGUGUGCUUUGGAACUUAAUGUCAGCCCCUAUAAAAAUCUACACUCGACGAAGCUUCAGAAAUCGAAGAGGCGCCUGCUCAGAAAUCGAAGAGGCGUUUGCUUUCUCAAAAGUUGGGCUGCUCAGAGACCACGAGGGUCGAUCUCAGAAAUCGAAGAGGCGUUUGCUUUCUCAAAAGCUGGGCUGCUAAAAAACCACGAAGGCUGAUCUCAGAAAUCGAAGAGGCUUGCUUUCUCAAAAGCUGGGUUGCUAAGAGACCACGAAGGCCGAUCUCAGAAAUCGAAGAGGCACCUACUUUUCCAGCCUUGUCAGCACCUGUCACACGCACACUCAGCUUUGCGGAAAUUAUGGGCAUUCUGUCGAAGAUUUCUGGCGAAGUAGAAAGCACAUGAAUCAUACUGUUCACCAUACGCAACAGUAACUCAUGGGUACCACAGAUAACUUUGCCAAAGUUCUCUGACAAAGUUGAGACACGUGAAGCUUGCAGCUCCCGCUACAUCGCUCUGACCAAGAAGGGUAAAAGAAUUGCAAAGAAACAACACUAACAAAGUUUAGACACAUAAAUUUUAAAGGUCUAGCUACCAUAUUAUUACCCACAAGGGUAAAGGAACAGUACCACUGCUGGAUAAUUGGAAAGUCCCGGUGUGUCAACCUCUGUGCUUCGUGGCAAGGUAGACUAGCAAACAUGCCAACCUUUACUCACAUUCCAGAAAACACUCCCAAAAGGAUUGCUUGCUCCAAAAUCGAAGAGGCACCGCCCUCCGAAUCUCGAGAGCCAGACUCCCAACAUGAUUACUUUCUCAAAAAUCGAAGAGACACCGCUCUCCGAAUCUCGAGAGCCAGACCCCCAGCAGGAUUGCUUUCUCAAAAAUCGAAGAGGCAUCGUUCUCCGAAUCUCGAGAGCCAGAUCCCCGACAGGAUUGCUUGUUCGAAAACCGAAGAGGCACCACUUUCCCAACUUCAAGAGCUGGAUCUCCUUGGAUAAAGUUUGUCUGUAAUCUUCACACGCAACAUCAUCUUUCCAGAUACCACAUACCACUUUUUCAAAGUGCUCUGACAGAGUUAAAACAUGUGAAGCUGGCAGCUCCCACUACCGUGUUAUGACCAAGCAGGGUAAAUGAAUAGCAUUAUUACUUGAUGUUAGGGAAACUCAUAUAUAUGUCGACCUCCAUCCCUAACGGACAGGCAGACCUGCAAAAAUGCUCAACCCUUUCUCUUAUCUGAGAGGGCACUCCCAACGAAGCCUUUCGAAAUAUUCAGCUUUCUUUCCCCCCGAUAAUACCUCUGUAAACAAGCUAUACUAGAGCAAGAAUAUCUCAUAUCAUCAGGGUUAAAAGCAAGAGUAUCUCAUAUCAUGUUUUUUCCCUGUCUUUUCCUUUGGCCUUGUUCUUACCUGCAAGACAAUGAGAAAGAGAGCAAUCAGUCAGCACUUGGAAUCAAGCUUCCAGCCAGGAACUGACUGCCUGGAACCCCUUACCUGAUUACUUACCUGGCAUUGCUCUCGAGUACUCAUCUUCAACAUCUUAUGCUUCCAGGGAAGAUACCGCAUCUGCCUGAGGAACAGAUAGGGCAAGUGAGAAGGAUACAAGGAAGCAUGUGGAGACAAGCGUAACAGCACACGUGCCGAUACAUCCACUACUCUGUCAAAAGAAAAAGUAUCCCAUAUCAGCAGGGUCGAACGUACUCUAGAUUUGAUGGACUUGUUUUGACCCUCAAAUUCUUCAGUCGGCCUUAUACUCUGGAGGAAACCAGAAAACCCUCCAGCCCGGUUCAAGAAUAAGCCUGUGGAAAGUUACUUCUUCAAAAGCAAAAGUAUCCCAUAUCAUCUCUUCUCAUUUUUCUUCUCUUUAUCCUUCAUGCUGCCUGCAAGAUAGGGAGAAUGUGAACAAUCAGCCGGAGCUCUGAUUGCUUACCUUGUCUGUCACCUCUUUCAGCAGAUCCCCUAGCUCGGCGACUUGGGGGACUCCUACUACAUGGUUUGUAUCGCGCUUGACCAAGCCUGAAACUACAAGUAAGCUUCAAGUGAGAUUGAUACAUUACCUUGUGCAUCUCCACCAGUUACAGAUACCACCCCUGGAUGGAGGAAGAGUACUUCCAGAGAAGAUGCCACAUCUACCUAUGAGACAGAUAAGGCAAGUCAAGACGAUACCACACUCCGGUACUUAGAAGUUUCGUGGUUACGAGAUCAUUCUCCCACAAUAUUUCCUAAUGUCAUUUGUACUAAAUCAUUCACUUGUACUCACUAAAGGAGAGCUUGAACCUAUGUACUUGUGUAAACCCUUCACAAUUAAUGAGAACUCCUCUAUUCCGUGGACGUAGCCAAUCUGGGUAAACCACGUACAUCUUGUGUUUGCUUUCCUAUCUCUAUCCAUUUAUAUACUUAUCCACACUAAUGACUGGAGCAAUCUAGCGAAGAUCACAAAAAGUGACCGUUUUCGCUACCUAGGAUCUAUCUUGCAAGAGAACGGAUAAUUAGAUGGAGAUCUCAACCAUAGAAUACAAGCUGGAUGGAUGAAGUGUAAGAGUGCAUCCGGCGUGUUGUGUGACCGUCGUAGGCCACUGAAGCUCAAGGGAAAAUUUUAUAGGACGGCAAUAAGGCCAGCGAUGUUGUAUGGCACAGAAUGUUGGGCGGUGAAGCAUCAACACGUACACAAAAAUGGGUUGUAGCGGAGAUGAGGAUGCUUCGUGGGAUGUAUGGGCACACGAUAAAGGAUAAGAUUGGGAAUGAGGAUAUCCGAGGUAAAGUAGGAGUAGCCAAAAUUGAAGGAAAUAUGAGAGAAAAUCGGUUCCGGUGGUUUGGACAUGUGCAAAGAAGGCCUACUGACGUUCCGGUUCGAAAAUGUGACUACGGGACAGAGGUUCAGGGCCGAAGGGGUAGAGGAAGACCUAGGAAAACUUUGGAAGAGACCCUAAGAAAAGACUUGAGUACUUGGAUCUAACGGAGGACAUGACACAAAACCAAGCGCAAUGGCGUUCUAGGAUUCAUAUAGCCGACCCCACUUAGUGGGAAAAGGCUUUGUUGUUGUUGUUGUUGUUGGCCAAUGGUGCUGAUAUGAAUAUUGCUUUCCUAUGUUGCUUUAGGCAAGUGGAAUAGGUGUGAAUUGCUGUAAUUCAGAAAUAAUCGUCGACAACGAUCAUGGAUCGAUCUUUAUCGUCAAGAAAUUGGUCGUAUGUGGAGUCACUACUCUCUCUUUACAGAAGCAGAAAGAAAAAUGUGAAUUUGGGCAGUAGUUGAAAGUGUAUCAUCCUUUCAUUAUUAUUCUGUUCCCAUCAUUUCUUACAUACGCACUUGUCUUAUUUCUGCUUUUAAUAAAAUAAAAACCAGAAACUCCGCAACUUAGAGUUUAGGACUAAUGUCGACACCCAGGAUAACAAGCCCUUUCUUCUAUUUCGGAACAGUUUGACGGAGCGUAAAAUCCAUGCGGCCAGAUGGCGUAGGCGGUUUAAAUUCACCAACUCGGAUAAUACUCCAACUUCCUCUUGGUAAUUUCCUCAGAUCCUGUGUACAGGCUUUCUUGUCGUUCCCAGGGAGAGUGAGGCUGAAGUUGACAUUAUCUUCCCAUCCGUAAUUUGGGUCCUUGAGCCUGAUCACAAAUGAAACUUCAUACACAGUAUCGGGUGUCAGGUAUUUGGUGUCAAAAGCCCCAUUCACAUCUAGCCAGCAUACAUCUAACAGUUCAGCAACGUCAACGGAGGCAUCUCUGCAAUUAAACCCUAAGUUAGGACCGAUUACUACAUAGCAGUAACCAAUAUCAAUUGUGAUAUACGGAUUCAAGUUUUCGGUACCUGGUUACUUUCAAAGGGUACCAGCGCCAGUAACGACGGUCUCCACUCCAAAUGAUUGUGAGAUCUCUUGCAUACAACAUAAAACAGUUCUUGCCAUCCUCAUCAACCCAAUAACUUUUCUAAUAAUAGUCAAGAAAAUAAUAGGAUAAACAUGAUUGUUGAUAUAUUUCAAGCUGUAGUAAGAGUUCAUCUUUUAAUAUAUUUAAAACGCAAUGAUUUCCGCACACUCGUUUUCUUCUGUUGCACACCCUGUUUAUUUAUGCCCUUUAAUUGAUUCUCCUUUUGUUUAUGCAAAUAUUCAAAUGCAAUAAACAAACAUGUGUGUCCAGACGGAGAAAAUGAGUGUGCUAAACAUCAGUAAGAAUUAGGACAAUUUCACAUUUCUGAAGCAUGUUUGAUAAUUUCACACAAAAACUGAAAAACAAAGAGCGGGAAAUUCUUUUUAAAAUGGUCAGAAAGUUAAAUGCAUGGAUUUCACCUUUUUCUCUGCGUCGAAAUAAUCUGUAUAUUGGUGCUCCGAAAGGAGUUUAUCAGGUGCGGGCCUGUCUUUAGGUUUGAUUAAGUUGUCCAUAAUCUCUUGAUACUGAUGUGGCUUUUCUGCUGGGGGAGCCCCUUGCGCAGCCAUCUCUUCGUGCAGUUCUUCAAUCAUGUUUUCACUAUAUAUACAGGAAGACAGGGCUAAGCCAUUCAUUUCCACAAGUCCCCGCAACAUGUGGAUGAGGACAAGAAAGAUGCCUUACGUUGCGAACCUUUUAUUCUUUAAAAUGUAGGUAUCAAGCAUGAAUUCCUUUUAUUUUACUUUGGAAUUUCGAUCAUAUGGGAAAGCACUAGAUUGAAAAGCACUUUCAAAAAAGCCUUUUAUUCCAUAUGCUAAAGCUUUUGUUUGUUGAUCAUAUAUAUUUCAUUAUGCAGAAGAAUUGCAUUCAUUCUCAGAUAAUACAGAAGAAAGAUGCCUUGCGUUGCGAACCUUUUAUUCUAUAAAAUGUAGAUAUCAAGUAUAAAUUCCUUUUAUUUUACUUUGGAAUUUCGACCAUAUGGGAAAGCACUUUCGAAAAAGCCUAUUCUUCUAUAUCGUGUAUAUUCCAUCAUAUAGAAGAAUAGCAUUCAUUCUUAGAUAAUGCAUCAUAUCCGAUAUAUUAUUCCCAGCUUAUAAAGCAAUAUUUGAAUUUGUAAGUGCUUACUGUAAGUCCACAACAUACCCAAUUUUGUAAGGUUUAUUCCACAACCCAUAGGCCCCAACAUGAAACACAAACCCUAAUUUAAAUUCUAUGUAUUAAUUCAUCUUACAAACAACCCAUUUAUUCCAUAAAUAAUUGAUAUCGAAACUUGGAACUAAGCACCCUACCUUACUAUGCUUGUCGAAGCUUCAGUCACCAGAAAAAAUAGAACUUUCCAGCCAAAACAAAAAAUAUGGAUACAAAACCCAGCUCACUCCUCUCACCUCUCUCGCAUCCUUUGUUCGAAAUCAGAAGUAUAAGGUUAACCCAAAAUCUAGCUCACUCUUCUCACCUCUCUUUGGACUUCACUCUCUUUGAAAUUUGAGACCAGAGAUCUGAGCUCAACCCAAAAAUUCAUAGCUCUCUCCACAUCCCUUUCUCCCAAAUGAGAAAAGUGAUGUAAUGAACUGAUGAUUUUUAGUAUUUAUAUGUGGGUAUUUUAGUAAAUUUGAUUUUGUGCAUGGCAUAGCCGGUUUAUCCUAUUUUUGUUCCAAAAUUAAGAAAAAUGCCUAUUCUUUUCCAUUCCAAUAAAUCAAAUUGAGACAGAAGAUGAAGAAGAGAGAAGGCUGGUGGAAAUCUCAAUCAUUGCCAUAACUUUCAAUUCCAACUUCAAAGGGUGGAGGAGGAGAUGAAGGAGAAGGGUGGUAGUGGAAUCUCUGGAAUGACCCCUUCAAUUUUUCCAUUGCUGCAAUUGUCAGUCCUUCAAUUGGAUCCAGUCCAUGGGGGGGACUUCACGGACAACGUGCAGCGAGCGAGAGAUUGUUGCAUAAAAACAAAGAACCCGACUAAUAACACCGAAGUUGUGAAGAGGAUAAAUAAGUGGGUGUGUGCCGUAUAAAACUGGUAGGGCCGAAUUAAUUAUUCGGUGAUUAUUUAGUAUAUAAACAUACCAAACAACUAACUUCGAAUUAUUAAUAUUAUCCGAUUCUUUAUACAAGUUGCCAAACGAGACGCGUAGUAUGUAAUUAGCUUCUUAACCGUUUGGACUAGAAUUUUCUCCUCUCUUUUUUCCAUCCUUUCACAUUUUCUUAUUUUGUCUUUCUUUUGCUUUAAAAAUUAAUAUAAGAUGUUAACGUGAUUUAACAGUGACUGUUGAAAUAGAAGAGGAGAGAAAGAGAGGAAAAAAAGGAAAGAAGAUCAUACUCCUAACCGUUUUCCUCGAUGUCAGGAGGCAAUAAUUGUCAGUUAAAAAAAAAAGGGUAAAGUACAAAAAAUUACCUCAACUAUUGGGGUCACGACACUUUCAUACAUCAUCUUUUAAAAUUGACAAUGUCAUACCUUAUCUUACGAAUUUGUGCCAAUGUCAGACCUCUGUCAGUUUUUCUGUUACUUUUUCUGUUAAAUGCUGACGUGAUAAAAAACAUGACCCAUUUUUUAUUAAAAAAUUAAUUAAAUAUUAAAAAUUUAAAAAAAAAAACAAAAAACCAAAAACAACACAUCAACCCGUGUCCCUCCUCCCCCAAAACCCAGAUCCCUUCUCUGAGUUAUCCCCCACCCAACCCCCUCUCUCUCUCCUCUCUCACAUCUCUCUCCCUACAACCUGCAUCCCUAAAAUCCCAAAAGCCAGAAAUCCUUCCCCCCCCCCCCAACCUUCCUAUCCGAUCCCACCGACGACAACCCUACCUCUAUUGUUGACUUCAGUGAUGACAGCCACAACCCCCAAUCGCCCCCUAACCCUAACUCUAGCCACAACCUCCACAACAACAUUCCCUUUUCCUCCUCGCCCCUGAAGUCUGCCCCUUCAACGAUUUGCAAGAGAAAAACAAAACAACAACAACAAUCCCAAUAGAAAAACUCUCCCUUUUUCCCAAAAAAUUUGAGAUUUUCCGAGAAAAUCAGAGGAGGCGCGAUAAAGAGAGAGAGAGUUGUGAUCUGAGAGUGGCUCUCUUUGGUCUGAGUUUCCGAUAAAUGGUGUAUACAGAUGGUCGGAUGAGGAGGAGAGAGUGGAGGUGAUGUCCAUGGCGAUGGAUUCUGAGAGGGCGAAGCCUCUGCACAAUUUCAACUUGCCAUAGUAUUUGUAGUGGGGGAACCAGAAGCACCUGUGGUGCCAAAAUGAGAGCUCCGAUGCCAGCGGGAGUGGCGGGGAAGGGUCUAGGGUUAAUUGGCGAUCGUCGGCUUAGAGGAUUGAGAGCUCGCCGACGGUGAUGACUCGGGUGGGAAUGGAUUCUGGAUUUUGGGAUUUUAGGGAUGCAGGUUGCAGGGAGAGAGAAGAGAGAGAGGCGAGAGAGAGAGAGAAAGAGAGGGAGAGAGAGAUGAGAGAGAGGGUUGGGUGGGGGAGAACUCAGAGAAAGGGAUCUGGGUUGUGGGGAAAGAGAUGGGGAAGUGGUUUAACAUGCAGUGAAAGUGCUUUUGCGAGAAGUGCUUGUUCGGUUCUUUUUGGGUUUUGAGGUUUAUGGAAUUUGCGGCCGAUGGGUAUAUAUAUGUGGAGGAGGGAGGGAGGAGAGAGUGGGGGUAGAAAAGGGGAUUGAGAUCUCGCUGGUGGUGAUGACUCGGGUGGGAAUGGAUUAUGGGUUUUGGGAUUUUAGGGAUGCAGGUUGCAGGGAGAAAGAAGAGAGAGAGGCAAUAGAGAGAGAGAGAAAGAGAGAGAGAGAGAGAGGAAAGAGGGUUGGGUGGGGAAGAACUCAGAGAAGGGAUUUGGGUUGAUGGGUUUUUUUUGGUUUUUUUUUUUUUUUUUUUUUUUUAAAUUUUAAAUAUUUAAUUAAUUUUUUAAUAAAAAUGGGUCUUAUUUCUGGCCACGUCAGCAUUUAACAGAAAAACUGACGGAUGUCUGACAUUUGCACAAAUUCGUAAGAUGAGGUAUAACGUUGUUAAUUUUAAUUUUAAAAGAUGAGGUAUGAAAGUAUUGUAACACCAAUAGUUAAGGUAGUUUUUUGUAUUUUACCAAAAAAAAAAAAAAAAAAAAAAAAAAAAGAAGAGCGAAGCAAUUUUUGGGGUGUGCUAUCCACACACCCCAUUUUACUUCUUACACACCCCUUGAUAAUUUCUGUCCGUUGAUCUUCUUCAAUUCAUCCGAUCCGAUGGCCGAAAAUUAAAAAGGUGUGUGAGAAGUAAAAUGGGGUGUGUGGAUAUCACACCCCUAUUGUCUCUGCCCGCGCUUUUGCUCAGCUAAGAAAACCAAGUCACGGAGAAACCCAAGAAAAAUGGAGAAAUCGAAGAUUGGGAGGAGGUUCCAAGGCAAGGUAGCGAUUGUGACGGCUUCCACUCAGGGCAUCGGCUUCGGCAUCGCCGAGCGCCUGGGGUUGGAAGGCGCCUCCGUCGUCAUCUCCUCCCGCAAGCAGGUCAGUCUCCGACACUCAUCAAUCCUUUCCUCCUGAAUCUUUGAUUUUUUUACAUGAAAUUCAUCUGGGUUUUUCUUCAAUUUUAGUUAAAUUUGAUUUCUUUCUGGUUUCCGCGGAUAUUGGGAUCGAAAAUUGAGCCCCUGAAUUUCGUUGUGUGUGGUUGAUUGUUGAAAAUGAAAUCAGGCUUUUUUUGGGAUAGAUUCUCGAGAAAGCACUUCUUCUUAUAAGUACUUAUGUUAGAAAUGUUUAUUAUUUUAAUUGAAUAUUCAAGUGCUUUUGUGGAAAGCACAUGGAAGUACCUCCUGAAAUGCUCUCCAAAAGUGCUUCUAUGAUCAAAAGCUUUUAGUUGGCAGAAUGCGCUUUUAGCCUUUCCAAUAGCAGUUGCAAACAGACCAGAUUUUUCCCCGUGUAAUCCCCUGGAAUGAUGAAGAGAGGAAAGUUAAUGAAUACUGCAUAUCAUGAACUUCAAUCAAGCUAAAUGGUACAUGUUUUUGUGUUUUAGGCUGUUUUGAAUGGUUGAAUUUUCAUCGUGCUUGGUCAAAUUGUUCCAGAAAAACGUUGAUGAAGCAGUUGAGAAACUUAAAGCUGAAGGAAUUGAGGCGUUGGGAGUAGUUUGCCACGUUUCGAAUGAGCAACAAAGGAAGAAUCUCAUCAACAAGACUGUGCAGGUAAGAACAUUCGUGAGUCCAUGAUUUUACAUUCACUGUUGAAGCAAGACACGAGAUAUAAACAGAAAACUAUGAAAAAUGUGGGAUGUAUAGGUUUUAUUUUAGUUUUACAUACGAGUUCAAAAGCUCGCAGAUGUAGUAGGCUACAGUGUUAUGGUGAAUUCUACUUGGUUACAACCUCUGAUUUAACUCACCUUCCAAAGGGGAUGGUCUCUUCUCCGUUGCAAUGAUUCUUCAUGUCAUUCCGUUGAACGUUUGAAUUUUACUGAUUUGUUUGCAGAAAUACGGAAAAAUAGAUGUGGUUGUAUCAAAUGCUGCUGCCAAUCCAUCAGUUGACCCCAUAUUGCAAACCCAAGAAUCUGUGCUUGACAAGCUAUGGGAAAUCAAUGUCAAAGCUACUAUACUACUUCUCAAGGUAAAAGACCAUAGGAAGACAUUAUCGAGCAGCCAAGAGCUCCUUUCCCAUGGAAAUUUUCUGCUCGAGCUGCAAUAAACAGUUGCCGAGAACUUUUAUACGACUUAUUUUGUCCUCCACUCCCAUUUUCGAUGUGCAUAAAUUUUUGGUGUAGUAUGCUAGGUUAUAAUACUAGAUUAUAUUUGCAGGAUGCAUCUCCGCACUUGACGAAGGGUUCUUCCGUUGUUAUCAUUUCCUCAAUUGCUGGCUACAAUCCACCAGGAGCUGCCAUGGCUAUGUAUGGGGUCACUAAAACAGCCCUUCUUGGGUUAACCAAGGUAUGUAGGUGGUUCCUGUUUUACGCCGUUUGUUUCUUAAGCUCUGGAAGCCACACAUUUUCUUCAGCUUAUUCUUUGCUGGUCCUACUUUAGGCCCUUGCCGGUGACAUGGCGCCAGAUACUCGUGUAAAUUGUGUUGCUCCGGGUUUUGUUCCUACAAACUUUGCUUCAUACAUUACAGAAACUGAUACCGUGGUAAGUAUAUAUGUGCAUAUAUAAAGGCCAACGUUGGGAUAUAUAGUUCCCUUCCAAGGGAUCUUGGGCAAUGGCCAUUGACCUUUGUGGUUGACUGAACUCGAAUGGUAUUUUGUUGCAGAGGAAGGCCCUCGAGGAGAAGACGUUACUCAACAGGCUCGGUACCACUGGAGACAUGGCUGCUGCCGCUGCCUUUUUGGCAUCCGAUGAUGCUUCUUACAUAACCGGAGAAACUAUAGUAGUGGCCGGAGGGAUGCCCUCUAGACUCUAGUUCCCUUCUUUAUCAACAUGUUUUUGCUCGAAUCAUUACAAGAACAAGUUUUUUUUUUCAGCAAAUAUCAAUAAAAUUCACUCCUAUCGAUUUUCAAUGUUAAUUUUCGCCAUCACAUAUAUCUCACAAGGAGAGUAAUUUUUGCAUUUACAAUCUUGGACACGAAACAUUAACGCUACAUAAUCCCAUGCUUAAUAGAAUAUUAACAUUUCCUUCUUGUCACAAACAAUACACAUUACAAGAUGAAAUACAAAUACACGUGAGGCCAGACGGUUUAUAACCAAAAAAAAAAAAAAAGGAAACCACAGAAAACCCUAGUAACUACUUUGUGUACUGCAAUCGAGCAUCAGACGAAAGGCACCCCUUUGGGCACUCUAUGAAGCUAUGACUUAUGUACACGAAAUCAGAGCAUCCUGAUUUCCGACGUUACAUCCAUCAUCUACAAACUUCUUCAAAGGGUGGUCGUCGGGCCUUUUUGCCCUAUUACAUUACCACCUCCACAGCAUAUUAAUCCAGAGUAAGCUAUCCUCAGUCUUUCUGAACUGCAUCUUUAGGCUUACAUACACUUAACCACGAAAGGAAAGAACAGAGCCGGUUGUCGUAUGUGCUUUUUCCUUUGGUUUUAGCCUUUCAUAUUUUUACAUGCAAAUCCCACUUCUAAAAACAACUAUCAUGAAACUGAAUAUAUCUACACAGGAACCACAUCAGCAUUCUGAUUAUCAUCGCACGUCAGAAUGAGACCUUCAACAUAGGUCGGGAGAAGGCAGCGAAACCAUUGAAAGCCUGUUGACACAGGCUCCGUUGGAGGAACAAUCAUGACCACAUUAUCGUGGCGUCUGACAACCCCCAUCACACUUACAGUGCUGCCCUCUUUAAUAUACC